CGAACCGGGGGAACUGAAACAUCUAAGUACCCCGAGGAAAAGAAAUCAACCGAGAUUCCCCCAGUAGCGGCGAGCGAACGGGGAGCAGCCCAGAGCCUGAAUCAGUGUGUGUGUUAGUGGAAGCGUCUGGAAAGGCGCGCGAUACAGGGUGACAGCCCCGUACACAAAAAUGCACAUACUGUGAGCUCGAUGAGUAGGGCGGGACACGUGGUAUCCUGUCUGAAUAUGGGGGGACCAUCCUCCAAGGCUAAAUACUCCUGACUGACCGAUAGUGAACCAGUACCGUGAGGGAAAGGCGAAAAGAACCCCGGCGAGGGGAGUGAAAAAGAACCUGAAACCGUGUACGUACAAGCAGUGGGAGCACGCUUAGGCGUGUGACUGCGUACCUUUUGUAUAAUGGGUCAGCGACUUAUAUUCUGUAGCAAGGUUAACCGAAUAGGGGAGCCGAAGGGAAACCGAGUCUUAACUGGGCGUUAAGUUGCAGGGUAUAGACCCGAAACCCGGUGAUCUAGCCAUGGGCAGGUUGAAGGUUGGGUAACACUAACUGGAGGACCGAACCGACUAAUGUUGAAAAAUUAGCGGAUGACUUGUGGCUGGGGGUGAAAGGCCAAUCAAACCGGGAGAUAGCUGGUUCUCCCCGAAAGCUAUUUAGGUAGCGCCUCGUGAAUUCAUCUCCGGGGGUAGAGCACUGUUUCGGCAAGGGGGUCAUCCCGACUUACCAACCCGAUGCAAACUGCGAAUACCGGAGAAUGUUAUCACGGGAGACACACGGCGGGUGCUAACGUCCGUCGUGAAGAGGGAAACAACCCAGACCGCCAGCUAAGGUCCCAAAGUCAUGGUUAAGUGGGAAACGAUGUGGGAAGGCCCAGACAGCCAGGAUGUUGGCUUAGAAGCAGCCAUCAUUUAAAGAAAGCGUAAUAGCUCACUGGUCGAGUCGGCCUGCGCGGAAGAUGUAACGGGGCUAAACCAUGCACCGAAGCUGCGGCAGCGACGCUGAUGCGUUGUUGGGUA
rnacentral:rRNA from 1 species